GACGAACGCUGGCGGCGUGCUUAACACAUGCAAGUCGAACGGAAAGGCCCUGCUUUUGUGGUGUGCUCGAGUGGCGAACGGGUGAGUAACACGUGAGUAACCUGCCCUUGACUUUGGGAUAACUUCAGGAAACUGGGGCUAAUACCGGAUAGGAGCUCCUGCUGCAUGGUGGGUGUUGGAAAGUUUCGGCGGAUGGGGAUGGAUUUGCGGCUUAUCAGCUUGUUUGUGGGGUAGUGGCUUACGAAGGCUUAGACGGGUAGCCGGCCUGGGAGGGUGACCGGCCACCUUGGGCCUGAGAUACGGAGCAGACGCCAACGGGAGGCAGCAGUGGGGAGUAUUGCACAGUGGGCGGAAGCCUGAUGCAGCAACGCCCGGUGCGGAAUGACGGCCUUCGGGUUGUAAACCGCUUUCAGCUGUGACGAAGCGUGAGUGACGGUAAUGAGUAAAGAAGCACCGGCUAACUACGUG
rnacentral:rRNA from 1 species